rnacentral:tRNA from 1 species
GGCUACGUAGCUCAGUUUUGGUCAGAGCACAGCACUCAUAACGCUGAGGUCAUGGGUUCAAUUCCCAUCGUAGCUA